GACGAAGGAUGCAAGCGUUAUCCGGAUUCAUUGGGUUUAAAGGGUGCGUAGGCGGCCAUUUAAGUCAGAGGUGAAAGACGGUAGCUCAACUAUCGCAGUGCCUUUGAUACUGAGUGGCUUGAAUGAACUAGAGGUAGGCGGAAUGAGACAAGUAGCGGUGAAAUGCAUAGAUAUGUCUCAGAACACCGAUUGCGAAGGCAGCUUACUAUGGUUUAAUUGACGCUGAGGCACGAAAGCGUGGGGAUCAAACAGG
rnacentral:rRNA from 1 species